rnacentral:rRNA from 1 species
AACGAACGCUGGCGGCAUGCCUAACACAUGCAAGUCGAACGAGACCUUCGGGUCUAGUGGCGCACGGGUUCGUAACGCGUGGGAACCUGCCCUUAGGUUUGGAAUAACUCCCCGAAAGGGGUGCUAAUACCGGAUAAUGUCUUCGGACCAAAGAUUUAUCGCCUUUGGAUGGGCCCGCGUUGGAUUAGCUAGUUGGUAGGGUAAAAGCCUACCAAGGCGACGAUCCAUAGCUGGUCUGAGAGGAUGAUCAGCCACACUGGGACUGAGACACGGCCCAGACUCCUACGGGAGGCAGCAGUGGGGAAUAUUGGACAAUGGGCGAAAGCCUGAUCCAGCAAUGCCGCGUGAGUGAUGAAGGCCUUAGGGUUGUAAAGCUCUUUUACCCGGGAUGAUAAUGACAGUACCGGGAGAAUAAGCUCCGGCUAACUCCGUG